CCUACGGGUGGCAGCAGUGAGGAAUAUUGGUCAAUGGGCGCGAGCCUGAACCAGCCAAGUCGCGUGAGGGAGGACGGCCCUACGGGUUGUAAACCUCUUUUGCCGGGGAGCAACGGGCGCCACGUGUGGCGUCACUGAGAGUACCCGGAGAAAAAGCAUCGGCUAACUCCGUGCCAGCAGCCGCGGUAAUACGGGGGAUGCAAGCGUUAUCCGGAUUUAUUGGGGUAAAGGGGUGCGUAGGCGGAUCGUUAAGUCAGUGGUCAAAUUGAGGGGCUCAACCCCUUCCCGCCAUUGAAACUGGCGUUCUUGAGUGGAAGAGAAGUAUGCGGAAUGCGUGGUGUAGCGGUGAAAUGCAUAGAUAUCACGCAGAACCCCGAUGGCGAAGGCAGCAUGCCGGCUUCCGACUGACGCUGAAGCACGAAAGCGUGGGGAUCGAACAGGAUUAGAUACCCUGGUAGUC
rnacentral:rRNA from 1 species